UACGGGAGGCAGCAGUGGGGAAUAUUGCACAAUGGGCGCAAGCCUGAUGCAGCCAUGCCGCGUGUAUGAAGAAGGCCUUCGGGUUGUAAAGUACUUUCAGCGGGGAGGAAGGCGAUGUGGUUAAUAACCGCGUCGAUUGACGUUACCCGCAGAAGAAGCACCGGCUAACUCCGUGCCAGCAGCCGCGGUAAUACGGAGGGUGCAAGCGUUAAUCGGAAUUACUGGGCGUAAAGCGCACGCAGGCGGUCUGUUAAGUCAGAUGUGAAAUCCCCGGGCUUAACCUGGGAACUGCAUUUUGAAACUGGCAGGCUUGAGUCUCGUAGAGGGGGUAGAAUUCCAGGUGUAGCGGUGAAAUGCGUAGAGAUCUGGAGGAAUACCGGUGGCGAAGGCGGCCCCUGGGACGAAGACUGACGCUCAGGGUGCGAAAGCGUGGGGAGCAAACAGGAUUAGGAUACC
rnacentral:rRNA from 1 species